GAUGAACGCUGGCGGCGUGCCUAACACAUGCAAGUCGAACGAGACUGAUUAGAAUGAGAUUUCGGUUGAUUUCUAUGAAAGUCGAGUGGCGGACGGGUGAGUAACACGUGGGUAACCUGCCUUACAGAGGGGGAUAACAGUUUGAAAGACUGCUAAUACCGCAUAAGCACACAGUACCGCAUGGUACGGGGUGAAAAGAUUUAUCGCUGUAAGAUGGACCCGCGUCUGAUUAGCUAGUUGGUAGGGUAACGGCCUACCAAGGCGACGAUCAGUAGCCGACCUCGAGAGGGUGAUCGGCCACAUUGGGACUGAGACAC
rnacentral:rRNA from 1 species